GGUUGUUUAAGUUUCUCACAUUUGUCUUAAUUCUUGAACUCUUCAAACCUGCAGACCAAGCACAAAGGAAAUAAUUUUCAUUUUUAGCUCAGGGACAAGCUGUGCAGGUGAAGAGAAUUCGUCCAGAAGACACAAACCUGGAAUGAUGGGUCUCAAUGUGACAUAGGACAAUCCAGCCCUUGGUGAGUCACACCCUGGAUGUCCCCACCUGGUGCCAUUGGGUCCAGGCAGUGUGAAGGUGAUCUGCAUGUGCUCCUGUGAUGGGAUUCACCUCCCAGAAAGUGUAAUAAAGUACUGAAGAUUCAGUGAGUCAAAAGAUAAAGCUCAGCCUGCUGUGAGUCACUCUGAUAUUUGCACCUUGCUGCUCCUUCUCAUUGGUCUACAAAGGAGUGAGGAUGAGAGGUUCCAUAACAAACACUCAUCUCCCUCCUGAGCUAAUGGGGUCAGACAGGUCUGCCUGCAAGAUACAGAUUUCCUUAAGGGCAUCGUAAAGAGAAGAGUCAUGAGAAGAUGGACCUUUCAAUAUGACUCCAAAGUUCGUUAGAUUAUAGCACUUGCUCUACACCUGUGCACAAGGCAAUGCCUCACAUCCAGCAUGAAACACAGGAUUCAUUCCCUUACCCCUCCAAAAUGGUUGAGGCUCUUUAUAUGUGCUCCAACUGCUAGUUUUCUGUUUGUAGAGAUAUAAAUUAUUCCCAAAGAACAUUUAUUUUUACUAUUA